GAGCUCAACCAUUUUCCGUAUCAACAUCGCAUUUAAGUUCAACUACAUCAUUCCAACCACUCAACCAACCGUCGUGGAAAAUUCAAAAACAGGGCUGCGUUUUGGAUUUGUCGGUGGAUCUGCAGCUGGUAUUCUCUACCAUAUCCAUAGAUUGAAGUUCAUGAUGCCAAUUUCCGGUAAUACAGAGGGCUAAUACUUGUGAAUCAGCUAUAAAACCAGUCACACUUCAAGAAAGAUCUUUGUAUUCUAAUGGCUUAUCUGGCCCCAUCAGUAAUGGCAUCACCGAUCUCACCAACCUCGAAAUUCUCGAGUUCCGUAUUCACGAAUAAACCGGCUCGAUACCACCGGAUAUUAAUAACAAUGUGUCGGCGUUAUUGCUCCGGAGGAGUCUUCGAGCAGUACACUUGUUCAUGGACUCAUUGCAGGAACUAUCUUUGAUCAGAGAUUGAACAAUUUUUAUUAGAUCAGACUGCUGUUGGUAGUUAUGUUUUUAUUGUCUGUUUGUGCCUGUCUGUGCAUAUCUUGUCUGUGUGUGUGUAGUGCAGGACUGCGAUGUUCAGAUUAUGGGUUUAAUAUAUGUUUCAGCUAACAAUAAGCUGUAUAUAAAUAAACAAAAAGCAUCAUGCGCUAAAUUACAGUAGAUAUACAAGAAUAAGCAUACAUUUAUGUUGUGUUUA